rnacentral:rRNA from 1 species
AUUGAACGCUAGCGGGAUGCUUUACACAUGCAAGUCGAACGAGUGGCGGACGGGUGAGUAAUAUAUCGGAACGUGCCCGGUAGCGGGGGAUAACUACUCGAAAGAGUGGCUAAUACCGCAUACUAUCGGAGCGGCCGAGAUCGGAUUAGCUAGUUGGUGGGGUAACGGCUCACCAAGGCAACGAUCCGUAGCUGGUCUGAGAGGACGACCAGUCACACGGGAAAUGAGACACGGCCCAGACUCCUACGGGAGGCAGCAGUGGGGAAUGUUGCACAAUGGGGGAAAGCCUGAUCCAGCCAUCCCGCGUGUAUGAGAAGGCCUGCGGGUUGUAAAGUACUUUUGGCAGGGAAGCGGUAUCUGCAGAAUAAGCACCGGCUAACUACGUGCCAGCAGCCGCGGUAAUUC